ensembl:snRNA
AAAAAGGGCUUCUGUCGUGAGUGGCACACAUAGGGCAACUUGCUCAUUCUGUGUGCAGAAUCAACAUCAAGAGAUUUUGGAAGCAUAAUUUUUUGAUGCUUGGGCAGCUGGUGAUCAUUGGUUCUGGCACCCUA